GGUUAAGCGACUAAGCGUACACGGUGGAUGCCCUGGCAGUCAGAGGCGAUGAAGGACGUGCUAAUCUGCGAUAAGCGCCGGUAAGGUGAUAUGAACCGUUAUAACCGGCGAUUUCCGAAUGGGGAAACCCAGUGUGACUCGUCACACUAUCAUUAACUGAAUCCAUAGGUUAAUGAGGCGAACCGGGGGAACUGAAACAUCUAAGUACCCCGAGGAAAAGAAAUCAACCGAGAUUCCCCCAGUAGCGGCGAGCGAACGGGGAGGAGCCCAGAGCCUGAAUCAGCAUGUGUGUUAGUGGAAGCGUCUGGAAAGGCGCGCGAUACAGGGUGACAGCCCCGUACACAAAAGCGCAUGUGCUGUGAGCUCGAUGAGUAGGGCGGGACACGUGGUAUCCUGUCUGAAUAUGGGGGGACCAUCCUCCAAGGCUAAAUACUCCUGACUGACCGAUAGUGAACCAGUACCGUGAGGGAAAGGCGAAAAGAACCCCGGCGAGGGGAGUGAAAAAGAACCUGAAACCGUGUACGUACAAGCAGUGGGAGCCCCACCACUAAGCCAGUGGUGAACUCCACAUACGCAUCCUUUGCUGAGGAUACGGUUAACGGAGCGAAAGCGACGUUCAACCUCAAAAGAAGCAGAGGGGGCUUAGUGGUGGGGUGACUGCGUACCUUUUGUAUAAUGGGUCAGCGACUUAUAUUCUGUAGCAAGGUUAACCGUAUAGGGGAGCCGGAGGGAAACCGAGUCUUAAUUGGGCGUUAAGUUGCAGGGUAUAGACCCGAAACCCGGUGAUCUAGCCAUGGGCAGGUUGAAGGUUGGGUAACACUAACUGGAGGACCGAACCGACUAAUGUUGAAAAAUUAGCGGAUGACCUGUGGCU
rnacentral:rRNA from 1 species